AUUGAACGCUGGCGGCAUGCCUUACACAUGCAAGUCGAGCGGCAGCGCGGGGGCAACCCUGGCGGCGAGCGGCGAACGGGUGAGUAAUACAUCGGAACGUGUCCAGUAGCGGGGGAUAACCUGUCGAAAGAUAGGCCAAUACCGCAUACGACCUACGGGUGAAAGGGGGGGACUCUCGGGCAACUGAGGGCCUCGCACUAUUGGAGCGGCCGAUGUCGGAUUAGCUAGUUGGCGGGGUAACGGCCCACCAAGGCGACGAUCCGUAGCUGGUCUGGGAGGACGACCAACCACACUGGAACUGAGACACGGUCCAGACUCCUACGGGAGGCAGCAGUGGGGAAUGUUGGACAAUGGGCGCAAGCCUGAUCCAGCCAUGCCGCGUGAGUGAAGAAGGCCUUCGGGUUGUAAAGCUCUUUCGGCGGGGACGAAACGGUCCGUGACAACACCACGGACUAAUGACGGUACUCGCAGAAGAAGCACCGGCUAACUACGUGCCAGCCGCCGCGGUAA
rnacentral:rRNA from 1 species